rnacentral:rRNA from 1 species
CGCCAGACUCCUACGGGAGGCAGCAGUGGGGGAUAUUGCACAAUGGGGGAAACCCUGAUGCAGCGACGCCGCGUGGGCGAAGAAGUAUUUCGGUAUGUAAAGCCCUAUCAGCAGGGAAGAAGAAAUGACGGUACCUGAGUAAGAAGCACCAGCUAAAUACGUGCCAGCAGCCGCGGUAAUACGUAUGGUGCAAGCGUUAUCCGGAUUUACUGGGUGUAAAGGGAGCGCAGGCGGCACGGCAAGCCUGAUGUGAAAGCCCGGGGCCCAACCCCGGGACUGCUCUGGAAACUGCGGCGCUGGAGUACGGGAGGGGCAGGCGGAAUUCCUGGUGUAGCGGUGAAAUGCGUAGAUAUCAGGAGGAACACCAGUGGCGAAGGCGGCCUGCUGGACGAUGACUGACGUUGAGGCUCGAAAGCGUGGGGAGCAAACAGGAUUAGAUACCCCUGUAC